AAAAGAGGCCAGUGGAGGACGGCCUGGAGAAACUGAGGAGCAUUGUGAGUGUGGGAGAUCCUAUGAAGAACUACACUGAAUGGGAAAAAAUUGCCAGUGGGGCUUUCGGAACGGUCUAUGCAGCGACCGACGCUGCCACAGGAGGAGAGGUAAG